CAAACACAUACAUCUAUGGGUGGCCCACCCUAUUUAAACCACCAUGGAAACAAAUACAGGGCAGUAGUUUGGGAAACUAUAUCGUACGGCAUGUUCCAAAGAAAUUCUGAUCUUUGUGGGGUUUUUUUUGUUUUGUUUUGUUUUGUUUUGUUUUGUUUUGUUUUGUUUUUUCAGUUCCAAGCAAAUCUUCCUCUCCAGGGAUAUUUUGGCUUGAAAAAAAACAAGAAAUGGAUGAUUUCCAGGUGUUUUGUCUGCGUACUACGAAGCCAGAAGAGGCCAGUUGAUCCUCUGGAACUGAAGAUGUGCUAAGGACCUUGCACUCAGAUGCCUUUUUCAACAGUUCCUCAAAAAUCUCAUUAUGCAUGUAAAAGAAGAUGUAUCCGCUGUUUAGCCUGUUCUCCUGAAUGGAGGGAUCUGAACUCUCGAACACUUGGACAUCACUGUAAAGGAGCCAGGCUUGCUUUUGAAAGUCAUACACAUCACUUACGUAAUGGCCUGAAUUUGGGGAGCUCCCAAAGUGGCUGACCACACUGACGAGCCUGUAAUUCUGAAGAUCAUCUCCCAUCUCCCCAUCUUUGGAAUCAUCAGAACCAAAUGCAAAGGAAUGUGGGUCAUCUUCCUGCAAUUCUGGAGACCUACUCAGGUCCUUCUCUGGGUC
ensembl:antisense Zim3 zinc finger, imprinted 3